UACGGGGGGAGCAAGCGUUGUUCGGAUUUACUGGGCGUAAAGGGCGCGUAGGCGGCCUCCGCAAGUCAGUUGUGAAAUCUCCGAGCUUAACUCGGAAAGGUCAGCUGAUACUGCGGGGCUAGAGUGCGGAAGGGGCAACUGGAAUUCUUGGUGUAGCGGUGAAAUACGUAGAUAUCAAGAGGAACACCUGCGGCGAAGGCGGGUUGCUGGGCCGACACUGACGCUGAGGCGCGAAAGCUAGGGGAGCGAACGGG
rnacentral:rRNA from 1 species